rnacentral:rRNA from 1 species
GAUGAACGCUGGCGGCGUGCUUAACACAUGCAAGUCGAACGGAAAGGCCCAAGCUUGCUUGGGUGCUCGAGUGGCGAACGGGUGAGUAACACGUGGGUGAUCUGCCCUGCACUUUGGGAUAAGCCUGGGAAACUGGGUCUAAUACCGGAUAGGACCAUCGUUUAGUGUCGGUGGUGGAAAGUUUUUCGGUGUGGGAUGAGCUCGCGGCCUAUCAGCUUGUUGGUGGGGUAAUGGCCUACCAAGGCGUCGACGGGUAGCCGGCCUGAGAGGGUGUACGGCCACAGUGGGACUGAGAUACGGCCCAGACUCCGACGGGAGGCAGCAGUGGGGAAUAUUGCACAAUGGGCGCAAGCCUGAUGCAGCGACGCCGCGUGGGGGAUGACGGCCUUCGGGUUGUAAACUCCUUUCGCCAAGGACGAAGCGUUUUGUGACGGUACUUGGAGAAGAAGCACCGGCUAACUACGUG